rnacentral:rRNA from 1 species
CACGUAGGGUGCGAGCGUUGUCCGGAAUUAUUGGGCGUAAAGAGCUCGUAGGCGGUGUGUCGCGUCGGCCGUGAAAACCUGCAGCUUAACUGUGGGCUUGCGGUCGAUACGGGCAUCACUGGAGUUCGGCAGGGGAGACUGGAAUUCCUGGUGUAGCGGUGAAAUGCGCAGAUAUCAGGAGGAACACCGGUGGGCGAAAGGCGGUUCCUCUGGGCCGUUACCUGACGCUGGAGGAGCGAAAGCGUGGGGAGCAAACAGG